AUUGAACGCUGGCGGCAUGCUUUACACAUGCAAGUCGAACGGUAACAGGCCGCAAGGUGCUGACGAGUGGCGAACGGGUGAGUAAUGCAUCGGAACGUGCCCAGUCGUGGGGGAUAACGCAGCGAAAGCUGCGCUAAUACCGCAUACGAUCUAUGGAUGAAAGCGGGGGACCGUAAGGCCUCGCGCGAUUGGAGCGGCCGAUGUCAGAUUAGGUAGUUGGUGGGGUAAAGGCUCACCAAGCCAACGAUCUGUAGCUGGUCUGAGAGGACGACCAGCCACACUGGGAAUGAGACACGGCCCAGACUCCUACGGGAGGCAGCAGUGGGGAAUUUUGGACGAUGGGCGCAAGCCUGAUCCAGCAAUGCCGCGUGCAGGAAGAAGGCCUUCGGGUUGUAAACUGCUUUUGUACGGAACGAAACGGUCCUGGUUAAUACCUGGGGCUAAUGACGGUACCGUAAGAAUAAGCACCGGCUAACUACGUGCCAGCCGCCGCGGUAAUAC
rnacentral:rRNA from 1 species